rnacentral:rRNA from 1 species
CGGCGCACAUAAGACAUGCAAGUCGAACGGAAGUCGUUGUAAUGAUGUGGACAUGAACGGAGAACUUGUUCAAAGAGAGUGAAAAUUGACUUACAACAAUGGCUUUAGUGGCGGACUGGUGAGUAAUGUAUAAGUAACCUGCCUAUCAGAGGGGAACAACAGUUGGAAACGACUGCUAAUACCGCAUAUGCCAUAAGGGAGACAUCUCCCAAGUGGGAAAGGAGCAAUCCGCUGAUAGAUGGACUUAUAUCUGAUUAGCUAGUUGGUGUGGUAACGGCAUACCAAGGCGACGAUCAGUAGCCGGACUGAGAGGUUAAACGGCCACAUUGGGACUGAGAUACGGCCCAGACUCCUACGGGAGGCAGCAGUCGGGAAUAUUGCGCAAUGGAGGAAACUCCUGACGCAGUGACGCCGCGUGCAGGAAGAAGGUUUUCGGAUUGUAAACUGCUUUAGACAGGGAAGAAAAAGGACAGUACCUGUAGAAUAAGCUCCGGCUAACUACGUGCCAGCCGCCGC